UACAGAGGGUGCAAGCGUUAAUCGGAUUUACUGGGCGUAAAGCGUGCGUAGGCGGUUCAGUAUGUCGGUCGUGAAAUCCCCGGGCUUAACCUGGGAACUGCGGCCGAAACUGCUGGGCUUGAGUGUGGUAGAGGAAGGUGGAAUUCCAGGUGUAGCGGUGAAAUGCGUAGAUAUCUGGAGGAACACCGAUGGCGAAGGCAGCCUUCUGGGCCACAACUGACGCUGAGGUACGAAAGCGUGGGUAGCAAAC
rnacentral:rRNA from 1 species